GAUUUUAUGCUUAUGUUACCAAUGAAGAAACAGAGGCACAUAAAUAACAUAUUCAGGGUCAUACAGCGAGAUUUCAGAGGUAGAAACUGAAGUGAGAAGGCCAGUGAAAGUUUCUGUGCAUCCACAGGGAAGUGAGAACUGGACAGUAAAACAUGAAAAGAAAGAAGAGUGAGAAGAAAGGUGUCCGGUCAGAUGUCCAGAGCAGCAGGAAGACACCUGGGGCAUCUUAAGAAUGGUGCUUAAUACUCAGUGAAACAAUUCACAUCUUUAGAGGAGAAGAAAAGGGGAAUUGAUGUUUAUACCUUGAGGGUUGUCUUCAGAAGUCUGCAAGAGGAGGUGAGUCCUGGAAGACUCUCACAUUAGCAGCUUUGGAAUCAUCAAAUAUUCAAAAUGGGAAAAAUCAUGCCUGCUCUACUAGCCUGUUGGGAGGAUUAAGUGAGGACAGGAAGAAUAGCUGUGGAGAUGCUCAGGUAAGACUGAAAAGUAGCCAGGCAAAGAAGCACAACUUAGAAAUGUCCACAGUGUCCUUCGACUGGCUGGAAGACCCAUCUGGCUCCAAUAUGUUCACCUUCAAAGGUCACCUGCCUAGUGCCCACCUCACAGAAGGAACAGCUUCAUAAGCUCAUGUACUCAGAGGUACCAAGAAGCUAUUUUGUUCUUCUGUCCACUGUCCCUCCUUAGUCCUGCUCUUUUCUGCCCUGUCCUUGGUUAAGUCUUACAAGUAGUUUUACUCACAGGACAGUGGCUCAAAUUUCUACCACGUGGCUUAGAUUUAGGU
rnacentral:lncRNA from 1 species